UCAGGAACUACGAAGCAGUUCUGUCCUUUGUGCUGGGAAACAAUAACCACUGGAACUUGCUGUACACACAUGCACCAACAAGCACAGUGGACCUGGUGGAUCCAGCGCAAAGCCUGACAGAACUGAAGGCGUCUGAAGAUGCUGCUGAAGGAAUCAGGGAGCACCUCAAAGUAAGACCAACAUGUCUUGGAAAGACAGACUGGGUGGAUGUGCAGUGGAGAGGGGGGGUUCUGUCCCCCCCAGUCCAACAAGAUGGAAGCAGCUGUGGUGUGACUGUUCUCCA